UUGGAGGGCAAGUCUGGUGCCAGCAGCCGCGGUAAUUCCAGCUCCAAUAGCGUAUAUUAAAGUUGUUGCAGUUAAAAAGCUCGUAGUUGAAUUUCGAGAUCAACAUGUCGGUCGUGCCUCCGGUACGUACUGGCAUCGUUGAUUUCUACCUUCUGACAAACCAUGAUGUCAUUAAUUUGGUGUCAUGGGGAAUCAGGACUGUUACUUUGAAAAAAUUAGAGUGUUUAAAGCAGGCACACGCUUGAAUACAUUAGCAUGGAAUAAUGAAAUAGGACGUUUGACCCUAUUUUGUUGGUUUCUAGGAUCGACGUAAUGAUUAAUAGGGAUAGUUGGGGGCAUUAGUAUUCAAUUGUCAGAGGUGAAAUUCUUGGAUUUAUUGAAGACUAACUACUGCGAAAGCAUUUGCCAAGGAUGUUUUCAUUAAUCAAGAACGAAAGUUAGGGGAUCGAAGACGAUCAGAUACCGUCGUAGUCUUAACCAUAAACUAUGCCGACUAGGGAUCGGAUGAUGUUAAUUUUUUAAUGACUCAUUUGGCGCCUUACGGGAAAC
rnacentral:rRNA from 1 species